AAUAAGCACGGCUAACUUCGUCCAGCCAGCCCGGGUUAUUCGAAAGGGGUGCAAAGCGUACCCGGAAUUCCUGCCGUAAAGCGUGCGUAGGUGGUUGUUAAGCCAGCUGUGAAUCCCGGCUCAACCUUGGCACUGCAGUUGGAACUGGCAAGCUAGAGUAGGGUAGAGGGUGUGGAAUUCCAGGUGUAGCGGUGAAAAUGCGUAGAUAUCUGGAGGACAUCAGUGGCGAAGGCGACACCCUGGACUCAUACUGACACUGAGGUACGAAAGCGUGGAGAGCAAACAGGAUUAGAUACCCUGGUAGUCACGCCGUAAACGAUGUCUACUAGCCGUUGGAGUCCUUGAGGCUUUAGUGGCGCAGCUAACGCACUAAGUAGACCGCCUGGGGAGUACGGUCGCAAGAUUAAAACUCAAAUGAAUUGACGGGGGCCCGCACAAAGCGGUGGAGCAUGUGGUUUAAUUCGACGCAACGCGAAGAACCUUACCAGGUCUUGACAUCCAGAGAACUUUCCAGAGAUGGAUUGGUGCCUUCGGGAACUCUGAGACAGGUGCUGCAUGGCUGUCGUCAGCUCGUGUCGUGAGAUGUUGGGUUAAGUCCCGUAACGAGCGCAACCUUUGCCCUUAGUUCCGCACGCGUAAUGUCGGCUCCUCUAGUGAGACUGUCGGU
rnacentral:rRNA from 1 species